ACUUUCCGUGUUAGACAAAACCCAACAAGCUGGUACACGCCAAUGCGAGUUGAGCAGUCAUUUUAAGGAGCGUAAACAAUGAACUGGGACAUAACAAAGGAUCCCAUGAGACCCUUGCCCACCUCAAGUUCUAUAUCAAAGAGACCAAGCAAUGUUCAAUACACAACUACAUCAAAAAACUCAUUAAUGAUGUGGUUCAAAGAGACAGCUUUACGGUUCAUCUGAUGUCAUGAGCAAAUGACACAAGAUGAAAAGAACUCAUACAAGCCAAAAAAUUUCCUUAUGUAAGGUAGGCAACACAAGAAACCCACAAUUUGGUUAAGCAAUUAAAGCCUUAACAUAAGAAUGAAAAAGGUAAGUCUGGUGAAAGUUGUUGCACAAGCAAAGAGCCAACCACCAUUAACAAACC
rnacentral:misc_RNA from 1 species